CUAGAAGAGAAAGACUUUUAGCAAUACCUGCCCAGUGCGAAAUAUUACUGUAAACGGCCGCCCUAGCGUGAGGGUGCUAAGGUAGCGAAAUUCCUUGCCUUUUGAUUGUAGGCCUGCAUGAAUGGUUUAACGAGGGUUUAACUGUCUCUUGAUUUAAAAUUGAAAUUGUACUGAAGGUGAAGAUACCUUCAUUAAAAAGUCAGACAAAAAGACCCCGUGCAACUUUGAAAAUUAACUUUAUUCAGAAGUGAAAGAUUUUUAGGUGGGGCGCCUAGAAAGUAAAUCUAACCUUUCUGAACAUUUAAUUCUUUCCGGACUUGACCCGAUUAUAUUCGAUCAUAGGAGAAGUUACGCCGGGGAUAACAGGCUAAUCCUUUAGUAGAGCUCGUAUUGGCUAAAGGGAUUGGCACCUCGAUGUUGAAUCAGGGAUGAUAGCUUCAAGGCGUAGAGGCUUUGAGAGUAGGUCUGUUCGACCUUUAAUACCCUACGUGAUCUGAGUUCAGACCCGGA
rnacentral:rRNA from 1 species